GACCUCCGGCUGCAGGUCCGCCUGGGCCAGACCCGCGAGCGCAGGCAGCCGGUUUGUGGUCGCGCGCCCGACCUCCGCAGUCCCAGCCGAGCCGCGACCCUACCGGCCGUCCCCACCCCACCUCGCCGCCAUGCGCCUCCGCCGCCUAGCGCUGUUCCCGGGCGUGGCGCUGCUUCUCGCUGCGGCCCGCCUCGCGGCUGCCUCCGACGUGCUAGAACUCACAGACGACAACUUCGAGAGUCGCAUCUCCGACACGGGCUCUGCGGGCCUUAUGCUCGUCGAGUUCUUCGCCCCCUGGUUGAUUGCACUGCCAACACUAACACCUGUAAUAAAUAUGGAGUCAGUGGAUAUCCAACCCUGAAGAUAUUUAGAGA
rnacentral:sRNA from 1 species